ACACACACACACACACACACAGAGAGACAUGUACAUAAAUCGUUUAGAUUAUUAGGGAAAAUAUGAGUGUUUAUUUUUUCUCAUUUUUGCUUUCUUUGCCACUUCUCAUUCCAUCCUGUUACUAAAUCAUUCAGGGCGGUUUUCCUGAGGACAGCUCAAAAGAAAGGAAUCUUGUAUCCUGGGAAAGCCAAACUCAACCUCAAGUGCAGGUGCAGGAUGAAGAAAUUACAGAGGAUGACCUCCGCCUUAUUCAUGAGAGAGAAUCUUCUAUCAGGCAACUUGAAGUAAGGCUUACAUUGUAGACUUGGGCUGCUACUCUGUUCUUAGUGAGUUUGUUCUCAAAAUGCUUAGGUAAUGCUGGGAGAGCGUACGAGAAA